AACACGCUGGCGGCGUGCCUAACACAUGCAAGUCGAACGAGAAAGUGGAGCAAUCCAUGAGUACAGUGGCGACCGGGUGAGUAACACGUGACCAACCUGCCCUCGAGUGGGGAAUAACUCCGGGAAACCGGAGCUAAUACCGCAUAACAUCGCAAGAUCAAAGCCGCAAGGCGCUUGAGGAGGGGGUCGCGGCUGAUUAGCUAGUUGGUAGGGUAAUGGCCUACCAAGGCGAAGAUCGGUAGCCGGCCUGAGAGGGCGCACGGCCACACUGGAACUGAAACACGGUCCAGACUCCUACGGGAGGCAGCAGUGGGGAAUUUUGCGCAAUGGGGGAAACCCUGACGCAGCAACGCCGCGUGGAGGAUGAAGUCCCUUGGGACGUAAACUCCUUUCGACCGGGACGAUACUGACGGUACCGGAAGAAGAAGCACCGGCUAACUCUGUGCCAGCAGCCGCGGUAAUACAGAGGGUGCGAGCGUUGUUCGGAAUUAUUGGGCGUAAAGGGCGCGUAGCGGUGCGGUAAGUCACCUGUGAAAUCUCCUGGCUCAACUGGGAGCUUGCAGGCGAAACUGCCGUGCUGGAAUGUGGGAAAAGUGC
rnacentral:rRNA from 1 species